CAAUAGCGUAUAUUUAAGUUGUUGCAGUUAAAAGCUCGUAGUUGGAUUUCGGUUGAGAACGGCCGGUCCGCCGUUUGGUGUGCACUGGCUGGUCUCAACUUCCUGUAGAGGACGCGCUCUGGGUUAACGCUCGGACGCGGAGUCUACGUGGUUACUUUGAAAAAUCAGAGUGUUUCUAGCAGGCAGCUCGCUCUUGCAUAGGUUAGCAUGGGAUAAUUUAAUAGGACUCUGGUGCUAUUUUGUUGGUUUCGAACACCGGAGUAAUGAUUAAAAGGGGCAGUCAGGGGCACUCGUAUUCCGUCGAGAGAGGUGAAAUUCUCAGACCAAUGGAAGACGAACCACUGCGAAAGCAUUUGCCAGGGAUGUUUUCACUGAUCAAGAACGAAAGUUAGGGGAUCGAAGACGA
rnacentral:rRNA from 1 species